rnacentral:rRNA from 1 species
UACGUAGGUGGCAAGCGUUGUCCGGAAUUACUAGGCGUAAAGGGCAGGUAGGUGGUUCGGUAAGUCUGUUGUGUAAGCUCCCGGCUUAACUGGGAGAGGUCAACGGAAACUACCGAGCUUGAGUAUAGGAGAGGUUACUGGAAUUCCAGGUGUAGCGGUGAAAUGCGUAGAUAUCUGGAGGAACACCGGUGGCGAAGGCGACAUCCUGGACCGGUAUUGACGCUGAGGCGCGAAAGCCAGGGGAGCAAACGGG